ensembl:lncRNA
AUUUCCAGUUCCCUCUGUUGUAUUCAGAGUUGAGUUCACUCUCUGUCCCCUAUUACAAGUCUUGACCUCUAUUGCAAUAGUCUUGAGUAAAGUUUUCCUUGCCUGUUUAACUAUGUCUGGUGCACGUUUUGACAGCUUCCGUCAUGAGAAGAAGCCUGGACUAGCCUGCUGAGGAUGAGAGACCGACCACAUAGAGCAGGACAUCUGAAAAGCAACCGACCAGAGAUAUGCAGUUUCUUUAAAACCCUCCCGCCUUCCUUUGAUCCCCUGGAAGAGGUGGACUUCGUGACCUUGGCCUUGGGGUAUGGAUGUCCCUGUCCCCAUCAAAUCUCCAAACAAAACAGAACAAAUUCCCCUUCCUGACCAAGUUCUCGAACAGAGGCUGUGAGGACACCCCCACCCUGCAUUUUCCUUUCUGCCUUUUGAGUCCAGCUGUUCUGGCUACGCAUUCCGCACUACCAGCUUGCUCCAGCUCCCAUUGGAUGGGGACGCCCUGAGGUCACCAUGGGCCUCAGGUCUGUCUCAUCAACCCCUAGAGGACGGGGGUCAUAUUCCUGGAAUAGCUCCAAGAAGCCCCACCCAGUUUUAGGUCAAAAGCUUGACAAAUAAGUAUUGUUUCAACAGCAGAGGCCCUGGCUUGAGGUAAGUUGGAAUCGGACCAGUCCUGUGGGGCCAGAACAAUCUGGUGGAGCCUGAGGUCUGCAGGCAGCCUGUUUGCACAGUUGAUGAGGUAAAGGAGAUGAUGAGGAGAAGGCACAAUAUUGCUAAGUUUCCAUUCUCUAUUGCCCUCCCGUACCCUACACACACUUACACAUACACACACACACUUGUUCACACACUCUCUCACACACUCACACGCUUGCUCUCUUACACACUCACACUCACACACCUGCCCCAGGGACUCAUGGUUUUAAGGCCGGGGGUGAGAGGGCUGCUCCAGGCAUAAGUCAAAGAAGGUUUUCAAGAGGCCCUUGGGGGCCGUGAGGUGUGGGAUCAAAGGUGAAACUGAGAGGGAGAGAGGCGUUUUUCCUCUCACUUUUUUGAUUUUCCUCUCACUUCUUUGAGCACACAGCGCUGCUCUGGCCCUUUGGCACACUGGGGAUGGCACCUUGGGGCCAGUGGGUGGGGAAGCAGUGGCCCUUGAUGGGGGGAGGGCACCUAAAAGAUGCUUCAGAGACUGUAGAUACCCAAGGGGAUGGGGGAAGUGGGUGGGGAGAAGGGGAAGUGGCAGAGAGGGGAGGACUGUGGCUUGUCGUCAGGUGUGGGACGCCCCUGGGGACUCUCGGGUUGCCUUUGAUCAACUUUGCCCCCAGCGGGAGCACCAGACAGUAAAUUCCACCCUGUCCUAAGGCAUGGAAUUUGUUUUCAUUGUGUGGCAAAGGUGAUUCUUUAUCAAGAAUUCCUUACCUCCGUUUCCUCCAUGGUCUUUCCUAGUUCACUCGGGUCAGGCAGGUCCACAACUCUCCUGGGGUGGGCACAGCCUGGGCUCAUGGCUCUGGGCUGGAGGUAAGGAACCCGCUGAGUCCCCGUUCUCCUGUCUUUAAAAUGGGAAAGGUAGUUUAAACCCCUCAUAGGUUUGUGGAAAUAAUUGCAUGGGAAAAAGUUAUAUAUAUGUGCAUGAUAUGUGUGUGCGUGUGUAUAUAUUCACCAUAUAUGUAUGUACGUAUGUCUGUGUAUGUAUAACAUAUAGACCAUAUAUGUACGUAUGGUGCCUAGCUCAGGACCCAGCACAUAAUAAGCCAUAAAUGUUACUGCUAUCCUUAGUAUCGUCCAGGAUGGCUUUCCAUAGUGGUUGGCUUUCUGCAUCAAGAGACUUCAGGAGUCCAAGUAAAGGGAAUGUGACCUAGCGGUAAAGUGACUUUAAAAUCUAUUAGCACUUACAUACCCAAGUGAGUGUGGAGCAUGCAGUCACCCCAGAAGUGCUCAUUCCUUCAUUCAGGAAGUCACAGAACAGGGCAGAUUGCAUUCUCUAGAUGUUCCUGAGCACCAAUCUCAAACGGCUCUCAGUAUUUAUGGAAAUGAUAAUUUCUCAGGCCGGUUCACUUUGCCAAUCUCCACAACUAUUCCAAACACUUUUCUCUCUCUUCAAGCCCUUUCCCCUUUUCUCUCCCAUUUAGAUGGGCUUCGCCUCUUAAAGAGAAAAUAGAUGCUGUCAGAUGAGAACUCCUUCUCCUUCCCAGUCUCAUACGUAUGAACCUGCUCGUGUUGGCACUCCUGUCCCUUCUCUUUACAAUUGAGGAGUACUUCCUCUCCAAUUUAUCGUGAAUCCUUCUACUGAUGCUUAUUUUGAUUCCAGCUCCUCCUGCCUUCUCAGGAACCUGACCACAUCUCUCUUCUGCUUAUUUGACCUUUCCCUCUCAACUGGCUUUGAGUACCCUCAAGUCUUUCCCAUUUAUCAACUACAGCAAAGCAAAACCAAAAAAUGCCAAACUUGACUUCUUUCUUGAUCCGCGUUGUCAUAAGCUGGCUCCCCACAUAUUCCCAGCACCCCUAUUGAGGAGACAAAGCCGAGCGCGUUGGGGCUCAUCGCAGCAGGUGGUGGGGAGAACAGCAAAGCUUGGUAUUCAGAGGGGGGAAGACAAGGUCAGAGUUCACCCAGAACUGGAGGUUUGGUUAGAGGUGGGUCUUUCAGUGUGGGGAUUGAGGAUGGAGUAACAAUCAUGAUACCACAGUCCAGGAUUGGCAGAGAUAGCAAAGUGAGAGAUUCAAAGAAUCUUCAGGUACAAACUGUAGAUGUUUUUCAUUGAAGAGUUGAUGGGUCUUUGGGGAAGUUUCUGUAGUAAACAAUUGCACUAUUUGCUUGGGAGGACAGUCCCAAAAGAGAAAAGAAAUGCUAAUAUAGACAGUGGGAGAGAAGCGCGUGCUACUGUGGGCAGUAAGGUGUGGUUUCACUUCUCUAUGUCCAGGCUGAGUGCGGGGGUUAGAAGGUUUUGGUUCUCAGCUUCGAGCUUCUGCCCCAGCUCCUUCCUCCCCUUCACCACUAAACAACUCAAAAUAAUUUCUCUGCUUGCUGACCUCAUUUCCUCUCCUCCUACACAUUCCUCAGCCCUCCAACCUGACUUCGGGCUCUUUCUAAAACAGUGUUCAUUAAGGUCCUCCAUGGCGUCCCUGUCUUUAAAUCCAGUUGAAACUUUUCAGGCCUCAUCUCACAUGGCCUCUCAGGGCUGUCAGUCUCUAGCUCCUUGGCAUCCAUGACUCCACACUCUCCCAGUUGUCCCACUGCCUGUAUCAUCACUUUCUCUUUCUCUUCUUUGCAGACUCAUUCUAUUCCAUCCUGUUAUUAAGUAUUAUUGUCUCACCAGACUUGGUCCUAAGACUUCUCCCCUUUCCCUUCAUACCUUCUCCUGUGGCAGUGCCAUGUAUUCUCAUAGCUUUAGCUACCACCUCUGCACAGAUACUUUAUAAAUUUAUGUCUCCAGCCCAACCUUUUUUUGGAGCUCUGGACCCACAUAUACAAAAGUCUAUAUGACGUCUCCUCUGAAUGUCUUCAAGGCAUUUCAAGUCAAGAUUUCUGUAGAAGAUAAGGCAGCGUUAGCACUGUGAGAAACAAACCCCCAAAUCUCAAGGGCUUAACACAUUUAAAGCUUAUUUCUCACUGAUCUAAGAGUGCAAAGUGCGAGUUCCUGAUCAGCUGGUUGUUUCUCUCCACAUGGUGAAUGAAAGGCCCAGGCUCCUUCCAUCUUGUGGCUCUGCCGCCUCCUAUGUCUUCAGAGUCCUCUGCAUUUAUCCAGUGGAGAGUGUAGGGGAGGAAAGAAAGACUUUCCUUCAACCACCCCUGGCUUCAAUAGCUCAGUCUAUGAAAUAAACUGACAGGCCGAUUAACAGGAGAAAAAGUAUACAAAUUUAUUAAUUUUUAAUAUUAUGUACAUGGGGAAUUACAGGAAAAAAAGUGAAUACCAAAAAAAAAAAUAUGGUGAGAAUUGAGAGCUUAUAUAUUAUUAGGGGAAGGGGAGGGGAGAUGCAGGCAACUUAGGAGAGAGUUAAUGAAUUUUAGGAAAAGAAUAGAUGUGAAGUGUGACAGUUUGGGACAGUUUGUCUGGGUGUAGAGUUGGUUUCUAGUCUUCUGUGUUAGGGUCAAUCUUCCCUGGUUGAUGAAACUCCUGGGGCCGGGGUGGGGGGGUGGGGGGGGGGUGCGGGGCAGCCUGGUUAAUGACAAUUGAGUUCCUUUUAGAGGAUCUGUCUUUAGGCAGAUAAGAGGAGUUCAGAGACAGCCUCUCCCUGCGUUUGCUAUUUUCAAGUGCCUUCAGCUCAAAAUAAUCAACAUACCAAAGCAGCAUAUUUUGGGGCUGCAUGUCCAGAAAUCCUUCAAUAGGAAAAAGGAGAGUAUAGAAGCUACACCUGGUUUUUAAAAGCUUUGGCCUGGGAGAUGACACACAUCACUUCUACUCAUGUUCCAUUGACAAAAAAACCCCCAAACAAACCAGUCUAGGGUUGAAUUGGCACUCCCCCAACCCUCCAAUAAACAGAUGUGUUUAAGUCCUAAUUGCAAGUAUCUGUGAAUGUGACCUUAUUUGGAAAUAGGAUCUUUGUAGAUGUGAUCAGGUUAAGAUGAGAUCAUAUUGGAUUAGGGUGGGCCCUAAUCACAUGAUUGGUGUCCUUAUAAGAUGAAGGAAAUUUGGGCACACAGAUACACACAGGGAGAAGAUGUCCAUGUGAAGACACAGAGAUGCAGGGAGAAUGCUAUGUGAAGACAGAGCAGAGACUAGAGUGGUCCAUCUACAAGCCAAGGAACACCAAGAAUUGCCAGCAACCACCAGAAGCUUGGAGUGAAAUGUGGAAUAAGUUCGCUCUCAGAGCCUCCAGUAGGAACUAACCUUGACUGUGGACUUCUAAUCUCCAGAACUAUGAGAGAAUAAAUUUAUGUUGUUUGAGUCACUCGGUUUGUGGUACUUUGUUACAGCAGCCACAGGAAAUUAAUACACUUGGCCCUCACCUGUCACAGAUCUGCUGGCGCCUUGAUCUUGGACUUCCCAGCCUCCCCAACUGUGAGAAAUAAAUGUUCAUUGUUUAAGCCACUCAGUCUGCGGUAUUUUUGUCAUAGCAGCCCAAGUAGACUAAGACAAGGCUG